UACGUAGGGGGCUAGCGUUGUCCGGAAUCAUUGGGCGUAAAGAGCGUGUAGGCGGCUCGGUAAGUCCGCUGUAAAAGUCAAAGGCUCAACCUUUGAAUGUCAGUGGAUACUGCCGGGCUAGAGUCCGGAAGAGGCGAGUGGAACUCCUGGUGUAGCGGUGGAAUGCGCAGAUAUCAGGAAGAACACCAACGGCGAAGGCAGCUCGCUGGGACGGUACUGACGCUGAGGCGCGAAAGCUAGGGGAGCAAACGGG
rnacentral:rRNA from 1 species